CCAUGCAAGUCUCAGUAUAAGCCGAAUUAAGGUGAAACCGCGAAUGGCUCAAUAUAUCAGUUUUGGUUCCUUAGAUCGUACAUAGUUACUUGGAUAACUGUGGCAAUUCUAGAGCUAAUACAUGCAAACGUAGCUCCGACCGGUGACGGAAGGAGUGCUUUUAUUAGAUCAAAAACCAAUCGGCGCGUCGCCCUAGCGGGUGGCGCGUCGCAAUCUAUAGAUGACUCUGGAUAACUUUGAGCGGAUCGCACGGUCCAGCACCGGCGACGCAUCUUUCAAAUGUCUGCCUUAUCAACUGUCGAUGGUAGUUUAUGCGACUACCAUGGUUGUCACGGGUAACGGGGAAUCAGGGUUCGAUUCCGGAGAGGGAGCCUGAGAGACGGCUACCACAUCCACGGAAGGCAGCAGGCGCGCAAAUUACCCACUCCCGGCACGGGGAGGUAGUGACGAAAAAUAACGAUACGGGACUCGUCCGAGGCCUCGUGAUCGGAAUGAUUACACUUUAAAUCCUUUAACGAGGAUCCAUUGGAGGGCAAGUCUGGUGCCAGCAGCCGCGGUAAUUCCAGCUCCAAUAGCAUAUACUAAAGUUGUUGCGGUUAAAAAGCUCGUAGUUGAAAUUGUGUCCUGCGGCGUCGGUCCACCUUUUGCGGUGCGACAGGCGCGUCUGCGGGACUUCUCGCCGGUGCGCGUUUUAAUGUCGCUCGGCGGCGGCGCCUUCGCGGGCGUUCGCUCCGGCGAUGAGACGUCGCGGCUGUUUACUUUGAACAAAUUAGAGUGCUCAAAGCGGGCUUAUUUUCGCCUGAAUAUUGUACGCAUGGAAUAAUAGAAUAGGACCUCGGUUCUGUUUUGUUGGCUUUCUGAUACCAGAGGUAAUGAUUAACAGGGACAACUGGGGGCAUUCGUAUUGCGACGUUAGAGGUGAAAUUCUUGGAUCGUCGCAAGACGAACUAAAGCGAAAGCAUUUGCCAAAG
rnacentral:rRNA from 1 species